rnacentral:rRNA from 1 species
GACGAACGCUGGCGGCGUGCCUAACACAUGCAAGUCGAGCGGAGUCGAUCGACGGAAGCCUUCGGGCGGAAGAUGGUUGACUUAGCGGCGGAUGGGUGAGUAACGCGUGGGCAACCUGCCUCGAAGACCGGGAUAACAGCCCGAAAGGGCUGCUAAUACCGGAUGUGGUCAAGGAUCCGCAUGGAUUUUUGAUUAAAGGGGAAACCCGUUUCGAGAUGGGCCCGCGUCCUAUCAGCUAGUUGGUGAGGUAAAAGCUCACCAAGGCGACGACGGGUAGCCGGUCUGAGAGGGUGACCGGCCACACUGGAACUGAGACACGGUCCAGACUCCUACGGGGGGCAGCAGUGGGGAAUCUUCCACAAUGGGCGAAAGCCUGAUGGAGCGACGCCGCGUGAGCGAAGAAGGCCUUCGGGUUGUAAAGCUCUGUCUGGAGGGACGAAGGAAGUGACGGUACCUCCGGAGGAAGCCACGGCUAACUACGUG